UACGAAGGGUGCACGCGUUACUCGGAAUUACGGGGCGGAAAGCGUGCGUAGGUGGUUUGUUAAGUCUGUUGUGAAAGCCCCGGGCUCAACCUGGGAAUGGCAAUGGAUACUGGCAAGCUAGAGUGCGGUAGAGGGUAGUGGAAUUCCCGGUGUAGCGGUGAAAUGCGUAGAGAUCGGGAGGAACACCAGUGGCGAAGGCGGCUACCUGGACCAGCACUGACACUGAGGCACGAAAGCGUGGGGAGCAAACAGG
rnacentral:rRNA from 1 species